UGUGUGUGUGUGUGUGCGCGUGUGCAGACUGUAGCUUGUAUUUCUUUUGGCACCUUGGCAACCUGCUAUUGUGCGCCUCUGCACUCCAGCAAUCAGGAUAUAAUGUCUCACCGUCGAGUAUCGGCUCAGGCGCUCGCGUACAGUAGAUAUUCAUGCGUUGGUUUGACCGGUCGUGUCUUUGUUUUCAAUGAAUCUGCUCUUCUUCUGCUUAGUGUUUCUGAGUCUUACAUCACAACACAAUUAUCUCUAUUCCAUUACAAGGAGUGAUGUUUUUAAUAUUGUUUGCAUACGGGGCGGGGGGGUAAUUGUUUUGAUGGUUUCACCCCCUCUUCCUGAGGAUUAGGAGUUGCACCUCCUGUACAGUGCAGGGAGAGUCUGCAAUUUUUAUUCUCAGCCACUGUGCCUCCAGGCAGUGAACCUCAUUACUGUCCCCAUCUCUCCUCCCCAGUCUCCUCAGCACCACCACCCUCCUCCCCCUGCAGCAGCAGCUCCCGGUGACCAUGAUGCCUCCCGGCCCGGCUCCCUCCGUCAGGUCGAAGAAGACCUUGUGGAGCUGAUGAUGAUCCAGAACGCCCAGAUGCACCAGGUCAUCAUGAGCAACAUGACCGCGUCAGGCUCUCGGACUCCCAGAGAUCUGGUCAUAAUUCAGGAGACUGAAGACGACCCAGACACACGGUGAUGAAGACACAGAAGGACACGAGGCGGCACAACUAUCAAUCCCUGCAGUUGGAGCAAGAAAAUCCUGCAAGCGUGCAUGAAUAUCUUGCAAAUUUGUGGAUUAAAUUGAAGAUUAAGAAGAAAGGGUUCGGGGGUUAAGUAUGUUUUUUUUUCCAGUUAAAGGAAGAUGCUGAGCAAACGUACAGUCUUGACUCUGCAUUAACUAGUUUGCGGUGGCAAGAUUGGUGGGUGGGGUUUUCCCCCCAAAAUGAGAGCAGGGAUGCAGCCGCGACAGCUGAAGCGUAGGAAAGAAUUUCAAUGUCAAUUUGGCGGAUUGGCCUGAGACAACAACGACACGGCAGCUCAGUGA